UUCGGGUAUUUUGUCGAGGCCUG
rnacentral:siRNA from 1 species